rnacentral:rRNA from 1 species
AUUGAACGCUGGCGGCAGGCCUAACACAUGCAAGUCGAACGAGUGGCGGACGGGUGAGUAAUGUCUGGGAAACUGCCUGAUGGAGGGGGAUAACUACUGGAAACGGUAGCUAAUACCGCAUACCAUCGGAUGUGCCCAGAUGGGAUUAGCUAGUCGGUGGGGUAACGGCGCACCUAGGCGACGAUCCCGAGCUGGUCUGAGUGGAUGGCCAGCCACACUGGCAGGGAGACACGGGCCCGACGCCUUCGGGAGGCAGCAGUGGGUAAUAUUGCACAAUGGGCACAAGCCGGAUACAGCCAUGCCGCGUGUAUGAAGAAGGCCUUCGGGUUGUAAAGGACUUUCAGCGGGGAGGCGUUACCCGCAGAAGAAGCACCGGCUAACUACGUGCCAGCAGCCGCGGUAAUUC